rnacentral:rRNA from 1 species
CCUACGGGCGGCUGCAGUCGAGAAUAGUCUACAAUGGUCGGAAGACUGAUAGUGCGACGCCGCGUGAACGAGGAAGCCCUUCGGGGUGUAAAGUUCUUUUAUAUGUGAGCAGUGGGUUCUACGUUAAUAGCGUGGGAUCAGGGAUAUUAGCAUAUGAAUAAGCAACGGCUAACUCCGUGCCAGCAGCCGCGGUAACACGGGGGUUGCGAGCGUUGUCCGGAAUUACUAGGCGUAAAGGGCAGGUAGGCGGAUCUAUAAGUUUUUUGUCAAAUUCAACGGCUCACCCGUUGCGAGGCAGGAGAUACUGUAGAUCUGGAAUGCGGUUGGGGAAGACAGAAUUCCUGGUGUAGCGGUGGAAUGCGCAGAGAUCAGGAGGAAUACCUAAGGCGAAGGCAGUCUUCUAAGCCGUAAUUGACGCUAAACUGCGAAGGUGUGGGUAUCAAACAGGAUUAGAUACCCUGGUAGUC